GUCCUUUAGUUCCCUCUGGAGACGGGAGGGGCAUGGGUUUAUUCCUCAUUUGUUGCAGGUCCUGAGAAGAGCAGUGUUUCUCUCCAGCACUGAUAACUGAGUUCGAAGGUGCCUCAGACUUGUUUCCAGGGGGAGCAGCAGACCCAUCCUACUAUGGAGACUGGGAUGGUGCUUCCCUCAGAGGAAACAAAUGUUCCACAGUCAGUCACCCUGGGGCGCAAAAACGGACUUCAAGAUGAAGAGAGAGGCUUGGUGUGUUAAUCAAACUGUCAUCAAAGGAAAAAAAAGGGACACAUUCCAUCCAAAUGAAGAAAAAUUUGAGCUUUCUACAAUAAACACGUUUUACAGUGG